rnacentral:rRNA from 1 species
UGCAGUCGAGCGGACAGAAGGGAGCUUGCUCCCGGAUGUUAGCGGCGGACGGGUGAGUAACACGUGGGUAACCUGCCUGUAAGACUGGGAUAACUCCGGGAAACCGGAGCUAAUACCGGAUAGUUCCUUGAACCGCAUGGUUCAAGGAUGAAAGACGGUUUCGGCUGUCACUUACAGAUGGACCCGCGGCGCAUUAGCUAGUUGGUGAGGUAACGGCUCACCAAGGCGACGAUGCGUAGCCGACCUGAGAGGGUGAUCGGCCACACUGGGACUGAGACACGGCCCAGACUCCUACGGGAGGCAGCAGUAGGGAAUCUUCCGCAAUGGACGAAAGUCUGACGGAGCAACGCCGCGUGAGUGAUGAAGGUUUUCGGAUCGUAAAGCUCUGUUGUUAGGGAAGAACAAGUGCAAGAGUAACUGCUUGCACCAUGACGGUACCUAACCAGAAAGCCACGGCUAACUACGUGCCAGCAGCCGCGGUAAUACGUAGGUGGCAAGCGUUGUCCGGAAUUAUUGGGCGUAAAGGGCUCGCAGGCGGUUUCUUAAGUCUGAUGUGAAAGCCCCCGGCUCAACCGGGGAGGGUCAUUGGAAACUGGGAAACUUGAGUGCAGAAGAGGAGAGUGGAAUUCCACGUGUAGCGGUGAAAUGCGUAGAGAUGUGGAGGAACACCAGUGGCGAAGGCGACUCUCUGGUCUGUAACUGACGCUGAGGAGCGAAAGCGUGGGGAGCGAACAGGAUUAGAUACCCUGGUAGUCCACGCCGUAAACGAUGAGUGCUAAGU